UGCAUCGAUGAAGAACGUAGCGAAAUGCGAUACCUGGUGUGAAUUGCAGAAUCCCGCGAACCGUCGAGUCUUUGAAUGCAAGUUGCGCCCGAGGCCACCCGRCCGAGGGYACGCCUGCCUGGGUGUCACGC
rnacentral:rRNA from 1 species